CUACGGGCCGCUGCAGUGAGGAAUAUUGGACAAUGGAGGCAACUCUGAUCCAGCCAUGCCGCGUGCAGGAAGACGGCCCUACGGGUUGUAAACUGCUUUUAUACAGGAAGAAACGCCGCUACGUGUAGCGGUUUGACGGUACUGUACGAAUAAGGAUCGGCUAACUCCGUGCCAGCAGCCGCGGUAAUACGGAGGAUCCAAGCGUUAUCCGGAAUCAUUGGGUUUAAAGGGUCCGUAGGCGGUUUUUUAAGUCAGAGGUGAAAUCCUGCAGCUCAACUGUAGCAUUGCCUUUGAUACUGAAAGACUUGAGUUAUUGUGAAGUAGUUAGAAUGUGUAGUGUAGCGGUGAAAUGCAUAGAUAUUACACAGAAUACCGAUUGCGAAGGCAGAUUACUAACAAUAUACUGACGCUGAGGGACGAAAGCGUGGGUAGCGAACAGGAUUAGAUACCCCUGUAGUC
rnacentral:rRNA from 1 species